GGCCAAGUUUUUAAGGGCGCACGGUGGAUGCCUUGGCACCAGGAACCGAUGAAGGACGUGGGAGGCCGCGAUAGUCCCCGGGGAGUCGUCAACCAGGCUUUGAUCCGGGGGUUUCCGAAUGGGGAAACCCGGCAGUCGUCAUGGGCUGUCACCCGCUGCUGAACACAUAGGCAGUGUGGAGGGAACGAGGGGAAGUGAAACAUCUCAGUACCCUCAGGAAGAGAAAACAACCGUGAUUCCGGGAGUAGUGGCGAGCGAAACCGGAUGAGGCCAAACCGUAUGCGUGUGAGACCCGGCAGGGGUUGCGCAUGUGGGGUUGUGGGUUCUUUCUUCUGCGGUCUGCCGGCCGUGGGACGAGUCAGAAACCGUUGAUGUAGACGAAGGGCAUGCGAAAGGCCCGGCGUAGAGGGUAAGACCCCCGUAGUCGAAACGUCAGCGGCUCGUUUGAUUGAUACCCAAGUAGCACGGGGCCCGAGAAAUCCCGUGUGAAUCUGGCGGGACCACCCGCUAAGCCUAAAUAUUCCCUGGUGACCGAUAGCGGAUAGUACCGUGAGGGAAUGGUGAAAAGUACCCCGGGAGGGGAGUGAAAUAGUACCUGAAACCGUGUGCCUACAAGCCGUGGGAGCGUCGGAAUGUGCUUGCACAUUCUCGUGACUGCGUGCCUUUUGAAGAAUGAGCCUGCGAGUUUGCGGUGUGUUGCGAGGUUAACCCGGGUGGGGUAGCCGUAGCGAAAGCGAGUCCGAACAGGGCGGUGGAGUAGCACGCUCAAGACCCGAAGCGGAGUGAUCUAGCCAUGGGCAGGUUGAAGCGGAGGUAAGACUUCGUGGAGGACCGAACCCACCAGGGUUGAAAACCUGGGGGAUGACCUGUGGUUAGGGG
rnacentral:rRNA from 1 species